rnacentral:rRNA from 1 species
CCUACGGGAGGCAGCAGUGGGGAAUAUUGCGCAAUGGGCGAAAGCCUGACGCAGCGACGCCGCGUGAGGGAUGAAGGUCUUCGGAUCGUAAACCUCUGUCAGCAGGGAAGAACGGUCACUGUGCUAAUCAGCAGUGAAUUGACGGUACCUGCAAAUGAAGCACCGGCUAACUCCGUGCCAGCAGCCGCGGUAAUACGGAGGGUGCGAGCGUUAAUCGGAAUUACUGGGCGUAAAGCGCUCGUAGGCGGUAUGUCAAGUCAAGGGUGAAAUCCCCGCGCUCAACGUGGGAACUGCCUUGGAAACUGGCAAACUGGAGUGUGUGAGAGGAUAGUGGAAUUCCAGGUGUAGGAGUGAAAUGCGUAGAUAUCUGGAGGAACAUCAGUGGCGAAGGCGACUAUCUGGCACAUAACUGACGCUGAGGAGCGAAAGCGUGGGUAGCAAACAGGAUUAGAUACCCCGGUAGUC